AUAUAUAUAUAUAAACAAAAAAGUUGUCAGUCCUUGUACUCAGGCUAAAAAAGUCCUUGUAUAUAUAAAAUGCCAGGUGCCAGUCCUAGGGCUUUCACAUCCUUUUUUAGCCUGAGUACAAGGACUGACAACUUUUUUGUUUAUAUAU
rnacentral:miRNA from 1 species